ACGAACGCUGGCGGCGUGCCUAAUACAUGCAAGUCGAGCGGAACUUAGAAAGCUUGCUUUCUAAGUUUAGCGGCGGACGGGUGAGUAACACGUGGGCAACCUGCCUAUAAGACUGGGAUAACUUCGGGAAACCGGAGCUAAUACCGGAUAAUAUAAAAGAUCACAUGGUCUUUUAUUGAAAGAUGGCUUCGGCUAUCACUUAUAGAUGGGCCCGCGGCGCAUUAGCUAGUUGGUGAGGUAAUGGCUCACCAAGGCGACGAUGCGUAGCCGACCUGAGAGGGUGAUCGGCCACACUGGGACUGAGACACGGCCCAGACUCCUACGGGAGGCAGCAGUAGGGAAUCUUCCGCAAUGGACGAAAGUCUGACGGAGCAACGCCGCGUGAGCGAUGAAGGCCUUCGGGUCGUAAAGCUCUGUUGUUAGGGAAGAACAAGUAUCGUUCGAAUAGGGCGGUACCUUGACGGUACCUAACCAGAAAGCCACGGCUAACUACGUG
rnacentral:rRNA from 1 species